rnacentral:rRNA from 1 species
GAUGAACGCUGGCGGCGUGCCUAAUACAUGCAAGUCGAGCGAAUGGAUUAAGAGCUUGCUCUUAUGAAGUUAGCGGCGGACGGGUGAGUAACACGUGGGUAACCUGCCCAUAAGACUGGGAUAACUCCGGGAAACCGGGGCUAAUACCGGAUAACAUUUUGAACCGCAUGGUUCGAAAUUGAAAGGCGGCUUCGGCUGUCACUUAUGGAUGGACCCGCGUCGCAUUAGCUAGUUGGUGAGGUAACGGCUCACCAAGGCAACGAUGCGUAGCCGACAUGAGAGGGUGAUAGGCCACACUGGGAGUGAGACACGGCCCAGACUCCUACGGGAGGAAGCAGUAGGGAAUCUUCCGCACUGGACGAGAGUCUGACGGAGCAACGCCGCGUGAGUGAUGAAGGCUUUCGGGUCGUAAAGCUCUGUUGUUAGGGAAGAACAAGUGCUAGUUGAAUAAGCUGGCACCUUGACGGUACCUAACCAGAAAGCCACGGCUAACUACGUGCCAGCCACCGCAGUAA